AGAACGAACGCUGGCGGCAUGCCUAACACAUGCAAGUCGAACGAGACCUUCGGGUCUAGUGGCGCACGGGUGCGUAACGCGUGGGAAUCUGCCCUUGGGUUCGAAUAACAGCGAGAAAUUGCUGCUAAUACCGGAUGAUGACGUAAGUCCAAAGAUUUAUCGCCCAAGGAUG
rnacentral:rRNA from 1 species